rnacentral:rRNA from 1 species
AUUGAACGCUGGCGGCAGGCUUAACACAUGCAAGUCGAACGAGUGGCGGACGGGUGAGUAAUGCUUGGGAAACUGCCCGAUGGAGGGGGAUAACUACUGGAAACGGUCGCUAAUACCGCCUACCAUCGGAUGAGCCCAGCUGGGAUUGGCUAGUGGGUGGGGUAACGGCUCACCUAGGCGACGAUCCCUAGCUGGUCUGAGGGGAUGACCGGCCACACUGGAACGGAGACAAGGUCACGACUCCUACGGGAGGAAGCAGGGGGGAAGAUGGCACAAUGGGGGCAAGCCUGAUGCAGCCAUGCCGCGUGUAUGAGGAAGGCCUUAGGGUUUUAAGGUACUUUCAGCGAGGAGGCGUUACUCGCAGAAGAAGCACCGGCUAACUCCGUGCCAGCAGCCGCGGUAAUAC